CCCACACGAAGUCGGAGUUGCUAGUAAUCCCGAAUCAGCAUGUCGGGGUGAAUGCGUUCCCGGGUCUUGUACACACCGCCCGUCACGCCAUGGGAGUCGGAAGUGCCCAAAGUCGGUGACCUAACCGCAGGGAAGGAGCCGCCUAAGGUAAUGCCGAUGACUGGGGUGAAGUCGUAACAAGGUAGC
rnacentral:rRNA from 1 species